rnacentral:rRNA from 1 species
GACGAACGCUGGCGGCGUGCUUAACACAUGCAAGUCGAACGGGUCUGCCCUGUUUUUUGCGGGGUGGGUCAGUGGCGAACGGGUGAGUAACACGUGAGUAACCUGCCCCUCACUUCUGGAUAACCGCUUGAAAGGGUGGCUAAUACGGGGUGUUCUGGCUGUGCCGCAUGGUGUGGCUGGGAAAGAUUCACUUUUGUGGUGUUUUGGUGGGGGAUGGGCUCGCGGCCUAUCAGCUUGUUGGUGGGGUGAUGGCCUGCCAAGGCUUUGACGGGUAGCCGGCCUGAGAGGGUGGGCGGUCACACGGGGACUGAGAUACGGCCCAGACUCCUGCGGGAGGCAGCAGUGGGGGGUAUUGCACAAUGGGCGGAAGCCUGAUGCAGCGACGUCGCGUGAGGGAUGGAGGCCUUCGGGUUGUGAACCUCUUUCGCCGGUGAAGAAGGUCCUGCUCUUUGUGGUGGGGUUGACGGUAGCCGGGUUAUGAAGCGCCGGCUAACUACGUG